GGUUUUCUCCGGUUCGGGAGAGAGACGGAGUCCCGCUCUGUCACGCAGGCUGCCAGGCUGGCGUACAGUGGCGCAAUCUCAGCUCGCUGCAACCUCCACCUCCUGGGUUCAAGCGAUUUUCUUGCCUCUGCCUCCUGAGUAGCUGGGAUUACUGGCACACACCACCAUGCACAGUUCCUUGUUCAAAAUGCCAAGAACCUGGAUGACUCAUAGUCAAGACCCUCCACCAGUAACAUAUAUUGGCGAGCCAGCCAGGAGCUUGGAACCCUCGGUGGACAGUGCCUAAGCACAGAGGCAACCACAGGUUUCUAACAGGGCCACUCUCUGGUGAAACUGAAAGGUUUCUGUGUGAAAGUGCCUGACCACCACUGCCCAAUUCAGACCACUACAGGAAACACUCCAUUUAUUCCACCUGACUUCCCACUUGGCUGCAUCCUCAACCAUUGAAAUGAAUUUGACCCUGAUAAUCUAAGGAGGAAACAUUUGAUAUUCUUUUGCAAUAAUACUUGGCCCCAGUAUUGUUUGGAAUCUGGAGUUUGCUGUUGAAUGGGAAAGCAGGAUGACGUUGCAUGUAUCCAGGCUUUGGUGCUGCUGUCCUAAGAAGGGUCAGGCCUAGUCAGCAUAUGGUGCUCUCCUUUGGUGCUAUUUGGCUCCAGUGUCUUUGGAGUCUGAGGAGGUUUGGCCUUUAAAAAUCAAACUGCCACCGGAACUGCUUUAAAAAUGUUUGGUUCACAGCCUUCACUGGAUUACCUAUUGGAGCAAACAAAGUGUAACCAUGUAAAACCUGUGAGCUUGUAUUGAUAUCUCAUGGCUAGAGUUCCAAGCGAAUGGGUCUCAUGAGAUCUGAUGGUUUUGAAAAUGGGAGUUGCCCUGCACAAGCUCUCCUUUUGCCUGCUGCCAUCCACAUAAGAUGUGAUUUGCUCUUCCUUGCCUUCCACCAUGAUUGUGAGGCCUUCCCAGCAUGUGGAAAUGGUCCAGCCUGCAAUAACUGAAGCCCCCAGACCUGGAACCUGAAGAUCCCAUCAGCCACUAAACCUGUGAACCUGUAGAAGACCUGAAGUACCUGUUUAAAAGGCAGCCAAAAGAUAAGUAAAUUCCUAUCAACUUUCCUUGGUGUCCUUCUUGUAUAUUUACUGUAAGCUGGAUAUAAUAGUAGCCAUUUUUAUAUUUUUACAAUUUAAUUGCUUUCUUCCAAAUGGAUUGAAUCACUUCUUUUAAAGUGUUUUAAUUAAUUUUUAUCUAUAGAACAAAAUAACAAAUAAGUAUUUUUUUUUUAUACCAUAAUGGUCACCCACAGCCUGUGUAUACUAAGACCAUGCAUACUGAUAAUCAGCUUUAUUUUACAAAAGAGUUUCGCUUUACCCCUCUGGUAAUUAAUGGAUUCUGGGUAUUUAUUAAAAACUUUAACACAAAGACUGUUAAAUACCACCAGUCCAGCUUUGGCAAGGCACUGUUGGCUUUGUUUAUCUCCAUCAUCAUCCAAACAGACUACCAAUCCUGAUCCCAGCCCAAUCUUGGGCCCUUGAAAAAAUAACUUAACAUCCUAACUACAAGGGAGAAACUCCUUUCAAAUUAAUGAACCUGGCUGACUUAUAUAGCCUUAAAAUUAUGGAAAUGACAAGGGUUACAAUGUCAGAAUGAGCAGUAAACCUUCCCCAGUCCUAUCAGAGCAAACUUUCUGGGGUUGCAUCCCCUCAGAAACCCAUUUGGGGCCCAAUCUCAAUGCACAUAUCAGUGCGCAAAGCACUAAAAUUCCAGGCAACACUUUGUAUUGAGAGAAGCCAAAAUUUUGGUCCCGCCCUGGGACAUCUAAAGUCACCAAUGUAACUACACCAUACAGAUUAAACCCUCACAUGAUCAUGUAAGCUAUGCAGUUACCCAAGCUGCAUCAUUUAGAAAACCUGUACAGUUUUUAUGGAAACCAUCCCUAGUCAAGGACACUUUAAAUAUAUAGUCUAAAUACCGUUAAGGUAGGCCCACUAGCUGUGUUCACAUUUUCCCUUGGCCACCUUACCAGGGACUUUAAUAACUUGGGAAAGUGAAAACAACAAGCUAACCCACAUGUUCACCAUAGAAAACAAUUUUGUCUUGAAAAACAAGGACUCUUUUUCCCGUGUGGGACCAGUUCCUACUUAUGUUUUACCAGCCAAUUGGACUGGAACCUAUACAGUUGUUUAUUUAGCCCCCGAAAUUAAUAUAGCUCCCAACAACCAAUCCUUCAUUAUACUUUUAACUGCAACCACCAGACACAAAUGAGCCAUCCAACUGAUACCACUUUCGGUAGAGCUAGGAAUAACAGCAGGAGUAGGAAUGAGAGUUAGCAGCCUUGCAGUUUCCCUAUCCUAUUACCAAUGCUUGUCCAAGGAUUUUAUGGAAAGCUUAGGUGACAUUGCCCAAAAGUAUCAUCACCUUACAAAAUCAGAUAGAGUCUUUGGCAGUGGUGGCUUUGUAAAAUAGAAGGGGACUGGAUCUCCUAAAUGCUGAAGAAGGUGGCUUAUGUCUUUUUCCUAGAGGAAGAAUGCUGUUUUUAUGUCAACCAAACAGGAUUAGUAAGGGAUGCCACCCAAAAACUAGCCGAUUGGUACCAUAAGAUAUGACAACAGCUGUCUGAGUCAUGGGGCGCCUAGUCAAAAUGCUAAUUUGGGGCUCACAUCUCCUUCCUCUGGCCAGUCCACUAUUAAUUAUUAUACUUGCCUUGGCUUUUGGAUCAUGUUUGUUAAAUCUUUUAACCAGAUUUAUUUCUUCUUGCCUAGAGACCAUUAUGAUAAUGCAGCAGGGCCACCAGUCAGUUUCAGAUAAUGAUGUCAACCCCGGCCACCAAGAAGUAACCUUGUCUCCACUAGACAGAGCAGGUUGCAGGAAUUUAGCCAAUUCAGAGGUCUUGUUCUCCAUAAUUUGGAAUUUUCCUUCGGAUUUGAUCAAGUUGGAUAGAGUUGGUCAAACCCAAUGGGAAAAAGAUGAAAACAACAAGAAACAGAAACAAACAGCAACAACAACAACAACAAAAACAAUGCAUUUAAUUAAAUGAAGAUGAGCUCAUGCUGGAGUAGGGUGGACUCUGAACCCAGUGGGACAAGCGUCCUUAUUAAGAAGAGGGAAAUCUGGACACACACAGAGCAGAGACCGCCGUGUGAAGAUGGAGGCAGAGAUCGGAGAGAUGCUGCCACACGCCACAAAUGCCUGGGGCUCCCAGAAACUACACGGAGCCUCCCCCAGCGGCUUCAGCAGGAGCAUGGCUCGGCCAACACUUUGAUCUUGGUCUUCCAGCCUCCAGAACGUUUUCCUAAAAUUCCCUUUUCCACUGGUGUGUGGUGCAAGAUGAGGCACAUUUUCCAUGGAUGGUGAACAGAGGGAGGAGCCUUUUGAUCACAACCAGGUCACCCCACUUCUAAGCCACUGUGCCUCCAGCCCCACAAGACUAAGGAGAGAGAGCGCAGCGUGGUGGAGAGUGAGCUGUGCUGGGACCAUUGUUUCCGUAACCUCGUUUUCUGUGUCCAGCUGACACACCUUCAAAGUGGCAUCAGGUCCUAAACUGUAGCUUGCAAUGUGCCUGUUUCCAGAAACCAAGGUGAAAGUGCUUUUAGACAGUGUUCCCAUGCAAGAGUCCCUUCCCAGCUUUUUUCUGGAAAUGCAUGUUUCUCUGAACUCUGAGUCCCAAGAAAAAUCACUUGAGACACCAAGAAAAUGGGGGAAGUGCUAAAAUUGUGUGGGAAUUCAAGCUUAACAAUAAACAUCAAGACAUUUUUGAUAAAAAUGAAUCCACUGACAUCGGGGAGGAGCAAGAGAACAGCACGCUGACACUGGGUCAGAGGCUAAGACCGACAUUUCUGGGAACCACUCCCGGAAGGGCACAGAGGAGACGCUUUCAGCCUCUCAUCAGCCAGCCUGGCCUGUAGCUGCUGCACGUUAUGAGUGUGUUCCUGGCAUGACUGCUUCUAACAAAGAAAUGCUGAGGCAGUGUCACGCUGGUGUCUGUCCUCCUUACAGAAUGCCUGAACAGUUCCAUUGACUCAAAGUGAAGAUCAAAAGAACCAAAUGACAGCAAUAGCCAAGUGUAAUCAUCAGUAACCCUGUGUUCUAUCCACAGUUAAAAGAAUAUUGGCAGAGAAACAGCCUUGGUGUUCCAGCAGGAGUGAAGAGGAACAGGAAAACGAGUGGCAGUAGCCCUGAAACAGCCACUUCUGGUGGUUGCCACUCACCUGAGGAUGUGAGUCUUGGCAGGCCAGGCUUCUGGGGACAGGGGGCCCAAGGCACAGUAGACGAGAUGGAGUCUCGUUCUGUCACCCAGGCUGGAGUGCAGUGGCGCAAUCUCGGCUCGCUGCAAGCUCUGCCUCCCGGAUUCCCGCCAUUCUCCUGCCUCAGCCUCCCUAGUAGCUGGGACUACAGGCGCCCCCCACCAUGCCCGGCUAAUUUUUGAUAUUUUUAGUAGAGACAGGGUUUCACUGUGUUAGCCAGGAUGGUCUCGAUCUCCUGACCUCGUGAUCCACCUGCCUCGGCCUCCCAAAGUGCUGGGAUUACAUGUGUGAGCCACCACACCCGGCCCCAUUUUUAAUACGUUUUUUAAAGAUGCAUAUAAAAUGCAUUACCCUCUGGAAGAUUCCAGUAACUUACUGAAGCAAGUUUCUCCUCUACAUAUACCUAUUUCUGCCAUGAGUAACUGUUCAUUUUCAGUGAGUCAUUUGAGUUUCUGUUAUUCAGGUAUACAGAGUUCCUGUUGUCUUUUUAGUCAACAAAGUUUAACAAAGACCAUAAUAAAGAUGGCUUUCAGCAGCUCUGUUAUUGGGAAGGGUUGUAUUCAUGUGAAGAAAGAAAUUAUUUUAUUUUAUUUUUAAGUUUUAGUAGAGGGGGGGUUUUGCUAUGUUGGUUAGGCUGGUCUCGAACUCCCAUCCUCAAGUGAUCCACCUGCCUCGGUCUCUCAAAGUGCUGGGAUUACGGGCAUGAGCCACUGUGCCUGGACAGUAAUAAUAUUUUUUAAAAGGCUGACAUCAGCAGAUCAGCUAUUCUGGAAAGAUUUUUAAACACUCAGAGGUUUUUUUGUGUUUGUUUGUUUUCUUUUCUUUUCUUUUUUAGAGGCAGGGUCUUGCUCUGUCGCCCAGGCUAAGGUGGAGUGGUGCAAUCAUAGCUCACUACAGCCUCAAACUCCUGGGCUCAAACAAUCCUCACACCUUUCAUACCUUAGGCCCCUGAGUAGCUGGGUGGGACUACAGGCAUGCAUCACCAUGCUUGGCUAAUUUUUAAUUUUGUAUAGGUGGGGUCUUGCCAUUUGCCCAGGCUGGUGUCAAACUCCUCAAGUAAUCCUUCUGCCUCGGCCUCCUAAAGUGCCAGGAUUAUAGGCCUGAGCCACUACACACAGCCCGGAGUUUUUAAAAAAUACUCAAUUAAAAUGCUUCAUUUAAGUGUAUGUCUCUAAGAAAAUUUAAUAAUUGAUUAAAUAUUGUUGAAUAGACUGAAAGCACAACAUCCAAGCACAUGAAUUAAGCAAAUAAUGCAAGCAUAGCUCCCACACUCCACAAAUGUUUUCUAGUCAUUCCAAAGCCAUUCUUUUUAGAGGAUCUUUAAGAAAAUGCUUGGCUCUCAUCCGAUUAUUAUACAAGAGAUUAAGAAUUUACUGAGUUUACAGUUCUUUCUAUGAAGGAAAGAAUGAGGUCUACACCCAAAAGAAACAUUGGGAUUUUCAUUUAAGUAAAGCUGUAUUCUCAUUUAAAAUGGUACUAGUGCUCUUGUUGGCAACAGACACAUGAAGCAAAAUUUUCCUUUUACAUUUGAAUUUCAACUGCAUUUAAAGUGUUAUAAAUACCAUGACUACAUAAGCUAAGGGAAUGAAUGUAUUAACUCUGAUGCAGUCUGUCAGGUUUUAACAGUAGUGAAUCUUGGGAUCGGUACAUCUCAUUCCAGUAUAGCUAUGGUAAAUGACAUAGAGAUCGCUGAAUUGUUGUAUUUCCAGGACUUUUCAAAAGUGACUAUUAAGGUUGGCUGUGGGAUCUAGCAGGUUAUUGUCCUAGAACACUUGUGGCCUUCUCCUAAAACAGACUGGGAAAAUUCUGGUUCUUUAUUCACUGACAUCUCAAAGGGCAAAGAGGGAGGCACCAUGACAUUCUGCAGUUGCAGGCCUCUCAGGAUGAGACUGUAUUUUUCCAUACAGCAAUGUUGAUUUGAUCUGGCCUAAUUCUCCGAUUGAUGUGGUGAGAGGCAGGACUACUUGGGAAUGUAUUCACUGUGCCUGAUUUCUCUCUGGGCAAUUUAUUUGGUCAUCAAUCUUUUUAUCCUCCUGACAUUUGAUUUCUAGAUAUUGGCCCAAAUUCCAUAAGAUAGGAAUUUUUGUUCUGAAUUUUAAUAACAUAUGUAUUUUAAUUAAUAGUAUAUUUUAAAAUAAAAGUAACACGACAAAAAGAAAAAACAAAGACAAAAAAGUAACCUAAGAAUAUAUGCUCAAAAGUGCCAAAAAUACAAAAGACUACAGAAUUUUUAAAAUAGAAGCUUUUUGUUCAACUUGCUGCUCUUCUUCCCACUUCUUCAAUUCCAUUUCUUUUCCUAUAGGUGAUCAUGGCUAACAUUUUGGUGUUUGUCUUUCCAAAGUGUAUAGUUAUAGAUCUGAAUAGAAAUGUAGAUACAGAGAUAUCAAAGAUGAGCAUGGGCUAAGCACUCAACAAUAAACUACGUUGGGUCUAUUUUUCAAAGUUACUCUCAAAACAAGAAUACAGAUUGUCCAUUAAACAUACUGGAAUUUUAAUACAUUCUUUUUUUUCCCCCAGAACAUUUCUGAUUUCAUAUAUUCUGGCAUGUUUCCUGCCAUGUGGCAAACCAUAAGCUGAAAGAGAUAUAAAUAUAAAUAACACUAUGUCUAACAAAAUUUGCUCAGAAUAUGCUAAAGCAUUAGUAUAAAUGUCUACAUCUUAAGUCAGAGCUAAAGAACAAGUUUCUCUCAGUAAAUCAAGGAAAGCCAGGGGAAAAGACCAUAGAGAAAAAGGAUAUGGGUGCCUGUAUGAAGCAGGGGAGGUUUUUGACUCCAGUGCACCUAAUUAGCAAAUAAGUAUCAUUCAUCUGUGCUGUGGUAAGCACUGCAGUAUGCAUAAAUAGAAGGUGUGAUACCUGCCUCCAAAGGGCUUACCAUCUACUGAGAAAUCCGACUAAUCAGACAGGAAAGACUCAGAUAAUGAAGGCUUGCAUAAGAGCCUGAAUCUGAUAAGGUAAUGAACAAAAGACAGCCUCUACAGGUUUUUAUAGAUAGAAAUGAGAUGAUAAAAUCAAAUUUAAACAAUGUAUCUUAACUCCCUUCCGGCCUUUCAUUUCCAUUCCAUGAAUGCUACCCUGGCUUAGGCUUUCAUGACUUUGCCUAUUUGCAGUGACCUUGUAUUCAGCACUCUGCCAUCUCUCCCACUACUUCCUCCCAAGCCAUCCUGAACACAGGCCACAUGUUUGAUUUUCUAAUCGUACACAAGGGAACGUCUCUGCUCAAAAGCCAAAAAUGACUCUUCUUUGGCCACCAAAUAAUCUGAACUUUUUGGUGUGAAACUCAAGGCCCUGCCAGAAACAAUAUUAAUCUCCUUCCAGACUGUCUCCCAUUUCCUAAUAUUAACCCCUUGCUCUGUUGAAAUUGAAGCCAUUUUCCAAAGCCACCUCUGUGAUGUCCUUAUGUAAUUCCCGCCCUCUUCUUGUCCUCCCCUGCAACCCUAUCUCCAUAGAAAAGCAGUCAGAAAAACCACCCUAGGAAUUGAUGCAGUAAUCCAGGAGUGAGAUGAGGAUGGGAGGGAGAGGGUGAGCAUGUGGGGAUGAGGAGGAGGGUGGGACACAGGGAGUAGCCACAGACCUUAAUGACUGAUGGCAGAUAGGGUGUGAAGGAGAGAGGUGAGUCAAAGGUAACUUAUUUUCGGUUUUAGGCAACAAAUACAAAUCUUUCUCAAUAACUACUCAUCCCACAUCCUUGUGGCUAUUGGAGGUUGAUAUUUAUUUCAUACUGCCUGUAUAACCUGGGACCAUAUAUAAUUAAUGAUGAUUACUCUGUAUUCUAGAUCACGAAUAUAUAUAUCUAUAUAAAUAUAUACAAAUAUAUAAAUACAAAUAUAUAUAUAUAUAUAUAUAUAUUUACCUUAAUGCAGGCACAACCAAAUACUUUACUUUUGGAGCCAGAUGUCUUUAAGAUACACUCUAAAAUAUUAUUGUGGAAUUAGAUACACUGCUUUCCACGUAAACCAUUAAUAGAUACAUUGAAUAAGAAUCUUUAUUUCAUUCCCAGUGUGGUUUGGAGUAUAAGACUUAGGAAAGUGUCUGUGAAACCUACAGUGAGAAAUUCCACUGGGUCUUGACAGCUGGAGUGAGCACUCAAAUGUGCCCAGCACUUUUCUCUAGCUCCCUUCUCUGCUUGAGCUGUGGUCUGCUUUCUCCUUCUCUGUAGCUCAGAUCAUCUUCCUCCACUUCUCAGCCCACAUGUCUAACGUGGCUGGGACCAGCUCAGAGUGUUUCAAAUGUGUAGGUGCUCGGAGAGAGAGAGACCCAACCCUCUUAGACUCAGGUACACAUUCUCAGGGAAGAAAACUGGAACCAGUAGAAAUAUCAGAUCCCUAUGUUCCCUGACGAGUGCUUCCUUCUCUAAGAAGAAAAACCUACUAAGAAGACAAAUUACAGCUGGAAGGUUGUUUGGUAAGCGUGGAAUCACCUAUCUAAUCUCCCAGCAAGUCUUAAUUGCUCUACCAUAAAAAAAAAGCAACCCAAAUCCAUCCUUUUCCCAGCUUCACUCCCUAGUCCAAAGCCACCAUCCACCCUUGUCUAAACCUCUGCAGGACUGUCUUUGCUUAUUUCUUUUCUUUUCUUUUUCUUUUUCUUUUUUUUAAGCGGAGUCUCACUCUGUCACCCAGGCUGGAGUGCAGUGGCGCGAUCUCGGCUCACUGCAAGCUCUGCCUCCCGGGUUCACGCCAUUCUCCUGCCUCAGCCUCCCGAGUAGCUGGGAGUACAGGCGCCCGCCACCAUGCCCAGCUAAUUUUUUUGUAUUUUUAGUAGAGAUGGGGUUUCACUGUGUUAGCCAGAAUGGUCUCCAUCUUCUGACCUCGUAAUCCACCCACCUCAGUCUCCCAAAGUGCUGGGAUUACAGGCGUGAGCCACCGCACCUGGCCCUGUCUUUUCUAAUUUCUUAACUAUCAUUUCUAUCCCCUUAGAAUUGAUUCUCCACUCAGCAUGCAGAAUUAUCCCUUUGAAAAUCAGAUUAUAUUCCUACCUAAACCACCCCCAAUAGCUUGUGACCUCUUAGAAUCUAGAUUCCUUAACAUGGCCUCAAGGGCCCACGUGACCCAGCCCCUGCCUGUCUCUCUACCUCAUCUCCUACUGCUCCUGCUUUUGUUCCUUCCACUCUAAUCACUUGACCUCCUGACCUCAGUCAUGCUAAUAAACUCAUGCCUCAUUUAGAUUUAUUUUCCUAGUGGAAGAAAAUGCAUUGAUCUGUGAACACAAAUACAUGGUUUAUCUGUUACAGUUCUCAUUGCAUGUCAACAAACUGACAUUCUGAUGUGUACAUCCAUCUCUUAUGAGUCUGCUUAGUGUGAAUCUGCCCCCUCUGGUAGUACUGACAAGAUUGUGUUUCUCAGCCCACAGAGCUAAGACACAGACUCAUGAGACCCAGUCUCUGUCUAUACCACUAGAGUUCUACUGCCCCUGAAUGGCAUUGCCUGCACAGACAGCUGGCCUUCCUCAGCAGACACACAGCCUUUGUACCAUAUAACUCUUCAGACUUGCUAUGAUGUACCAAUGUCUUUCCUUGAAAUGCUCUUCUGAAAAUGAUAAAUGCUAAAACUGAUUACAAUGCUAUUGAAAGUGGAUGAGCAAGUUGAUCUGCUGAGAUGUGAAAACAAAUUCUAUUUUAAUUUUUAAUCUAAAAUAUUAGAAAGAAUUUUGUUUCCUAUACUUUGCUAUAUUUAGUAAAUAUACACUAAUAUAAGAAUUUUGCUUUACUAAAACAGUAGAACCCUCAGUUAGCCAGGCAGUCAUCAUCUGUCACAUAAAAGGUGUCCUGAGGAGGAAUGGGAGUGCCUCCCCUGGGGAAGAGGCUGAUGGUGGCUCUGGCUCUCAGUCAGUCGCUUUCCUUAUCUUGGUAUUUACUGUCAUUUAUCUGGGCUUAGCUAAACAGAUUUAUAGAGAAUUAACUCUCACAAAAUGGGAACAUAAUUUAAAAGAUUUCUGCAAAGAAUUGGACAGGAACUCUUGUCAAAAUUGUAAGCAGAAGAAAAGAAAAAAAGAAAGGGACAGAGCCGACAUUUCUCAUACUUCUGGUACAAGCUCCUCAUCACAUUCAUUGUGUUGUAAAAAUAAUGGUGAUCUAGUAACAUCUGACAAGGUCAGCCAAAAUGAUACAUAUAAGAAUUUAGCUCUCCACCUAGGAGGGCUAUUAGCAAUAAAAUUUCCAUCUACUAUAACUUAUAAUUAACUUUGACCUAUAUGUGUAUUUCCCUUGAGAUUGGCCAAUGAUUGAUUGAAACUACCACAAUUAAUGACAGAUAAAAUAGCUUUUUUAUUUUAAAAUUUCUAUUUUGUGGGUAUUAUAGAAUGUAUUUUAUAUAUUAAUAUACAUAUAAUUAUAUACUAUUAUAAUCAUAUAUUAAUAUUAACAUAUAAUUGUGUGUGUUCAAAAAUUUUUAAUGGCACAAUCAAAAAACUUUAAAGACCACUGGAUUAAAAGAUGGUAUUUAGGGCCCAGCACAAUGACUCAAGUCUGUAGUCUCAGCACUUUGGGAAGCUGAGGUGAGGGGAUCGCUUGAGCCCAGGAGAUCAAGACCAGCCAUGGGCAAUAUGGCAAAACCCCAUCUCUACAAAAAAUACAAAAAUUAGCCAGAUGUGUUGCAACUGUAGUCCCAGCUAUUCAAGAAACUGAAGUGGGAAGAUCACUUGAGCCUGCAAGGUCGACGCUGCAGUGAGCCAUGAUUGCACCACUCCAGCCUGGGAGACAGAGCAAGGCCUUGCUUCAAAAAAUAAAAAUAAAAGAUGACAUUAAGAAGAAAUCUGAUCUCAUUGUCUUUAUUAUCAAGUGAUUGAAGGCUAUAAUCAUUAUUUAAUAAUCUUGUAGAUAAUGAUUGUACUUGAAAGUGGGCUAUUAAUAACUAGAUAUAUCUAGAGCACCAAGGUUUUACAAUUGUUAGAAAUUUGAGAAGCAGCACCCAGUAGUGACUUAGAGUCAGACUGCAUGGCUGAAUCUCUGCUUCAGUCAUUGCUAACUACAACCUGGGGCAAGUUAGUUGACCUACUAUGCCUGUUUCCUCACUGUAAAAGGAGAAUAAUAUCAGUACUUUCCAUAUAUGACUAUUUUCAGGAUUAAAUGAGCUAAUACAUUUAAGAAUUUAGGCCAGUGCCUGGCAUUUCAGAAGUGCUCAAUGAAUGUUAACUAAUAUUAACCUGGCUUUGGUUAAAUUUGAAAAAACAAACACAAAAACACAACUUUGUGUAGGUAACUUUGUUACCUACUGCCCCUUGCUGGCCAACCUGGGUCAGUACACUGCCAUCUAUGUGGGGAAGCUAAAUAAAUAAGUGCUUGGAGUAAGGAAAGAUUUUCAGCGUUGAGGGUAAUAUCAAUGCUAAACUUAUGAAUAUUUUUGCAAAAUAGUCUUGAGAAAAAUCAAUUGUCAUGAAAUUAAGUAAUUAGCAAGAAGUAUAGGAAGAGAAAUUAAAUAUCUGUAACAAUAAUUAAAUAAUAAGCACAUUUUAGAUUCUUAAGAGCAGUUGAAAAGCAAGACAUUUUAAAUUGCAGUGCUCUAAAAUAGGACCCUUGAGAAUUUAUGGUGUAAUAGAAUAUGAUUUGCCAGGAAAAGCAACUUGCUCCCUGAAAUGACCAAGUAUGUAUUUCAAGUUCUGCCUAGAUGUUUGAGGGGUGGGAGGAGGUAUUAUCUUCUGUAGGGAGACCCCCUGAAACUACUGCUACAGAAUAAAAGAUGAAAUGCUCCUGGUUAUUGUAAAUACAAAGUUGCAUGCAGGAUUGUGUAAAGACAAUGCCAGGUUGGGCUGCCAGAAUGAGCCAACAGCGCGUGAUGUGCUUCCCCCUGCAGAGAGCCUAUGAACAGACGUGCAGUCAGGGAGGUUUCACAUCACCAAGAUUCCUAUCCCAGAAAAGCAGAUGUUCAGAGCUCUGGGAAUGGAAUGCAACGCUUGUGGAGAGCCUAUAAGCAGAUGCAUGAGGGGCACCUGUUCAUAUGGAUAAGAUAGGGCUACAAACACCCUCAUCUUGCCAUGGCUCUUCUAGGCCUCUUUAGGGUUAAGGCAUACUCCCUUCUGAGAAUUUCUGGUCUAACCGGUUGUCUAGCUUCACGUCCUGUUUCCAUGGAUUGUUUGUAACCAGCUUUUGCUGCAACAGUUACUGCUGAUUAAUAUCUUGCUAAUCAUAGGUUAUGGACAGACUGUGUUUCUGUUUCAAGGCUCUGUUAGAAAUGACUGAUGUAAAUUCUUAUCUCUGUAUACUGUACUUCUGCAUAUAGAUGUUAUGUUAAAGAAUUACUUCAUCUCCAUGUGACUAUCUCACCUCAUAAUCAAACGACCCUAAAUCCCUCACUAACCUACCCCUGACCUCACUAAACUUAAUAAUAAAUGCUGGUAUAUCCAGUGCAUUGGCGGCACCACGGGACCAGAAGAUGGUGACCCCCCCUGGACCCAGUUUUCACUAUCUUGUGUGCGUCUAUUAUUUCUCGACCUGCCGAUCUGCCCGUGAACAAGGAAAGAGCCCCAUUGCAUUGCGGGCUGCGGGGCAGAUCCCACAAUAAUCUUCCUAUUUGCAGAUUGUAUAAUAAUAAUAAUGCUAUUGCUUAUUGAGUGCUCACUACAUGGCAAGGGCUUUCCAUAUAUCACCUUUUUCCUUGUUCUUUUUUUAACAUGAAAAUAUUCAAACAUAUAUACAUUAAAAAUAUAAUGAACAUCCAUGUACAUCACUACAUUUAACAUUUAACACUUUCUGUAUUUUUUUGUUCUGAAUUAUCUUAAAAUAUAGGUAUCAAAUAUUUCAACCCUAUAUAUGCCAGUAUACAUGUCUAAAAAUAGAGACAUUUUUCUACCGAAGCACAAUACCAUUAUCACACCUAAUAACAAUUGCCUAAUAUCACCUAAUGCCCCAGUGAAAACUCAAAUUUCUUCAGUUGUCCCCGAAAUAUCUUUUAUAUCUGGCUUAUUAAACCAGAAUCAACAGAGGACAAGCCAUACAUUUGGUUAUUGUUUGUUUGUUUGUUUGUUUGUUUUUGAGAUGGAGUCUUGCUCCGUUGCCAAGCUGGAGUGCAAAGGCGUGAUCUUGGCUCACUGCAAAUUCUGCCUCCCAGGUUCAAACAAUUCUUCUGCCUCAGCCUCCCGAGUAGCUGGGACUAGAGGCAUGCCACCAUGCCCAGCUAAUUUUUGUAUUUUUAGUAGAGAUGGGGUUUCACCAUGUUGGCCAGGAAGGUCUCCAUCUCUUGACAUUGUGAUCUGCCUGCCUCAGCCUCCCAAAUUGCUGGGAUUACAGGUGUGAACCACCACACCCAGCCACAUUUUUAAAAUUUCUUUUAAUCUAGAGCAGCCAUCCCUCAGUGCUGCUUUUUUUCUUUUUAAUGACACUGACUUAUUGAAGACACUGGGCCAUGUGUUCAGUAGGGUGUUCCACCAUUUAUUCUGGGUUUUUCUGGUUGUUUUCUCCUGUUGUAAUUUUAUUCUUCUAUCCUUGCAGUUCCUGAGACAGGAAGAUAGAUUUAAAGGCUUGAUGAUGUUGAGGUUAAAAUUUUUUGGAAAGAAUACUUCAUAGAUGAUGCUGGAGCUUCAUAUUGCAUCAAAUUGGGAGAUAUUUAAUGUCAGGCUGGGCCACUUUUAUGGUGAUAAGAUUGUUCUGGGUUAAGGUAGGAGGGGCAAGAUUUCCCUGUGUUGUAAAAAUGUAACCAGCAGUAGGCCAGGCGCGGUGGCUCACGCCUGUAAUCCCAGUGACAGGUGAAGCCAGCUGGGCUUCUGGGUCGGGUGGGCACUUGGAGAACUUUUCUGUCUAGCUAAAGGAUUGUAAACGCACCAAUCAGCACUCUGUGCCUAGCUAAAGGUUUGUAAACGCACCAAUCAGCACUCUGUGUAUAGCUAAAGGUUUUUAAGUGCACCAAUCGGGGCUCUGUGUCUAGCUAACCAGGUAGGAGGCUUAGAGAACUUUUCUGUCUAGUUAAAGGAUUGUAAAUGCACCAAUCAGUGCUCUGUGUCUAGCUAAAGGUUUGUAAACACACCAAUCAGGGCUCUGUCAAAACAGACCAAUCAGCUCUCUGUGAAAUGGACCAAUCAGCAGGAUGUGGGUGGGGCCAAAUAAGGGAAUAAAAGCAGGCCACCAGAGCCAGCAUGGGCAACCCACUUGGGUCCCCCUCCAGGCUGUGGAAGCUUUGUUCUUUUACUCUUUGCACUAAAUCUUGCUGCUGCUCACUCUUUGGGUCCGCACCGCCUUUAUGAGCUGUAACACUCACCACGAAGGUCUGCAGCUUCACUCCUGAAGCCAGCGAGACCAUGAACCCACAGGAAGGAACAACUCCAGACGGGAGGAACGAACAAUUCUGGACGGGAGGAACGAACAACUCCGGAUGGGAGGAAUGAACAACUCUGGACGUGCCACCUUUAUGAACUGUAACACUCACCAUGAAGGUCUGCAGCUUCACUCUUGAAGUCAGCAAGACCACAAACCCACCAGAAGGAAUGAACAACUCCAGAUGCACCGCCUUUAAGAGCCGUAACACUCAACCGCGAGGGUCUGCAGCUUCACUCCUGAAGCCAGCGAGACCAUGAACCCACAGGAAGGAACAACUCCAGACAGGAGGAACGAACAAUUCUGGACGGGAGGAACAAACAACUCCGGAUGGGAGGAAUGAACAACUCUGGACGAGCCACCUUUAUGAACUGUAACACUCACCAUGAAGGUCUGCAGCUUCAUUCCUGAAGUCAGCAAGACCACAAACCCACCAGAAGGAAUGAACAACUCCAGAUGCACCGCCUUUAAGAGCCGUAACACUCACCGCGAGGGUCUGCAGCUUCACUCCUGAAGUCAGUGAGACCACAAACCCACCAGAAGGAAGAAACUCCAGACACAUCUGAACAUCUGAAGGAACGAACUCCGGACACACCAUCAUUAAGAACUGUAACACUCACCGCGAGGGUCAGCGGCUUCAUUCUUUAAGUCAGUGAAACCAAGAACCCACAAUUCCGGACACACCAGCACUUUGGGAGGCCGAGGCGGGCAGAUCACGAGGUCAGGAGAUCAAGACCAUCCUGGCCAACAUGGUGAAACCCCGUCUCUACUAAAAAUACAAAAAAUUAGCCAGGCAUGGUGGCGGGUGCCUGUAGUCCCAGCUACUCAGGAAGCUGAGGCAGGAGAAUGGUGUGAACCCGGGAGGCGGAGCUUGCAGUGAGCCGACAUCACACCACUGCACUUCAGCCUGGGCGACGGAGUGAGACUCUGUCUCAAAAAAAUAAAAAUAAAAUAAAUAAAUUGUAACCAGCAGUAAUCCUCAGGGAGUAAUUUGGCAUCAAGUGAAUAUCCUGUUCCCUAUCACCUUUU
rnacentral:lncRNA from 1 species